rnacentral:rRNA from 1 species
GACGUAGGAGGCAAGCGUUAUCCGGAUUCACUGGGCUUAAAGGGUGUGUAGGCGGGUCGUUAAGUCGUGCAUGAAAGCUGCUCGCUCAACGAGCAGAGGCUGUGCGAGACUGGCGGUCUGGAGGGUGUGAGAGGGAGGCGGAAUUCCGGGUGUAGUGGUGAAAUGCGUAGAGAUCCGGAAGAACACCAGAGGCGAAGGCGGCCUCCUGGCACAUCACUGACGCUGAGACACGAUAGCAUGGGUAGCGAACGGG